UAUGCCUCACCCCCACGAUCAUUGUCUGGGGAGAAAGAGAGGACAUUCAGAGAAAAGACCACAAAAAGGGGGGGACGAGCGCACUGGACGGGGGAGAGACGGGAGAAAAAACGAAAAAACCAGAGGAGGAGAGAACGAACAAGGGGUAUUUUUUCGGAAGCUGAGAAAAAUCACAGAAAACAGAGAGAACACAAACAGAGGAGAAAAAAAACCAAAGAACUGGGGAAGUAAACAGAGGACAGACGAAAACAAAAGAAAGGGAAUAAACAGAGAGAAAGACCACAACAGGAGGACACAACUCGAGGGGACGAACAACACAGGGGAGACCUGGAAACGCAAACAGAGGCGAAUGAACAGAAGCAUACCAGGAAAUAAAGAACAAAGAAAGCAAAAGAAAAGCAAGAAAAGGGGAGAGUAACAUCAGCCAGAAAGAACAAGCCUCCUUCUUCAGCAGCCCGCUGAAACAGGUUUAUGGUGUCGAACCAGCAGAAAGUGCAGUCUUGAAUGGAGAAAAACCUGGUGCGCAUUUGAUUGAAGGACUUGGUGCUGGCGUUCGUUGUACCUCCUGCUUUGGAUAAUGACCUGCUUGAUGAAGUUUCACACUGUUUAAGAAAUUGAGCUUGUUGGCACAUAAAUUUCGAACCUUGGAAUCAUGAUAUCUGUGGUUGUUAUAACUUAAUUUUUGAUUUCUUUU